rnacentral:rRNA from 1 species
AGAGUUUGAUCCUGGCUCAGAACGAACGCUGGCGGCGUGGAUAAGACAUGCAAGUCGGACGAGAUUUUUCGUUGUAGCAAUACGAUGGAAAGUCUAGUGGCGAACGGGUGCUUAACACGUGGGCAACCUGCCAAGAAGUGGGGGACAGCUCGCCGAAAGGCGGAUUAAUACCGCAUGUGAUUAGAGAGGACAUCCUUUCGAAAUUAAAGUCGGGGCAACCUGACGCUUCUUGUGGGGCCCGCGGCCUAUCAGCUAGUUGGUGAGGUAACGGCUUACCAAGGCUUUGACGGGUAGCUGGUCUGAGAGGACGACCAGCCACACUGGGACUGAGACACGGCCCAGACACCUACGGGUGGCAGCAGUCGAGAAUUUUUGACAAUGGGGGAAACCCUGAUCGAGCGACGCCGCGUGGAGGAUGAAGGUCUUCGGAUUGUAAAAUCCUGUCAUUGGGGAACAAGGUGCAGACGUUAACUGCGUGUGCAUGAUAGACCCGAAGAGAAAUGGCGU